rnacentral:rRNA from 1 species
CAGUCGUACCGACGGGAAAUCAACUUCUCGAGUGCCUAUCAUGGGUGACGUUGAGCUUAACGGCCUUCGAUGCUUGUGUUUGUUGGUGCUUUUUGGGUGUACUUUUCCGUAUGGUAGGUCAGCAUCGAUUUUAAUCGUCAUAAAAUGAUCGGGGGAAUGUAGCUUCGGUCUUGUAUCGGAGUGUUAUAGACCUUGGUAGAUGUGACGAUUGGGAUCGAGGAUUGCAACGAAUACCCUCUGGGCUAUCCGUCUGUCCUCUGAAAGUCGCUCGGGUGUCGAAAGCUUGCUUAUGGCUAUUCGAGUUGGCGGUCAACAGGUUAGAACGUGAUUAUA